GGUAAGAUGGCUGAGUGUUAAGCGGUGGAUUGUAGACCCAUGGACGGAGGUUUAACCCCUCCUCUUGCCA
rnacentral:tRNA from 1 species